UGUGGCUCUGCCUGCCAGGCACAGUUGUUUGUGCUUAAUAAAUCAUUUGGGAAGGUCUGUGUUCCUUCAAUAGCGUUGGUCCCUGUUGUAUAAUCCCAUCAGCCGUGUGAUUCAACAGGUAGCACUUACUAUAUGGUGCUUUAUGUUUAUAAAGCAUGUAAAGAACAAGGAGAAAUCCAGUUUCAGGUGUGUCUGAGAAUUUGGAUAACAAGUAUCGCAGGAGGAAAAUCAGGCAGAGAGCACAUGUAGAGACUGAGCCAGUUCCUUAGGGAGGCUGGAGAACAAAGAGGGCCAUAACCCAGUCCUCUGUAUGGGAACACCACCCAGCAAUGCAAUGAGGAGAUGAUUGCACCAGAAAUCUCACAGCAAAACCCAGGCAUUGAGAUCUUCAAUCUGAAUGUCUUGCUCGAAACCCACCUGCCAGAGCUUACACCUGAGCAUCCCACAUCUCACUGGAAGCAGAAAGGUCCAUGCUGGCUGGUUCAAUCAAGUUUGCUGAGGAAAGAUCCAACACAGCGUGGUUUUUGUCCUCGUGUUGGUUGGACACAGUCCUUGGCCUGUGCUCUCCCAUACCAGGAGUGGUGCCAGCAAAUGAACGAGGCAUAUUAUCAAGGGACAGUGUACAAGGCUCACUCCGUGAGCUUGCAUGGACACAGGGUGAAGAGUUCAGCUGGACCUCAGAAAUAUCCAGGGAGAAGACACUCCUGAAGGUCUUGGAAAACAGAAUUUCCUCAAAAUGGAGGAAACUGUCUCUGUUUCAGGAGAGAGUCAAUGGAUCUGUCAGGGCAGCAGUGGGAAGGAGGUCCCUCCAAACCAUCAUCCUGUCAUGUAAUUUUUUCACCUGCUUCACGGGCUCUUCAUUUUUUCAUCUCCUACCAUCAGUACCAAGCAUGAAAUAUGUGGCUUUUAGGAGAGUCUCUGAACUCAAGAGCUCCUGUUAUGGAAACAGGGAAAUUAAGACAAUUAAAGAACGCAACCACCAGGCAAGAAAUUUACAGUGA
rnacentral:lncRNA from 1 species